CCGGGAUGGAGGUGAACUCCGCACACAGAGACUCCGUCUCUGUCCUCCCGUGUCUGCGCGCGCGCGCGUGUGUGUGUGUGUGUGUGUGUGUCCGUAAUCACACUCCUGCGCGGUCAGUUAUCCGAAAUUCAGAAUGAAAGACUCCGGAAAAGAAAAAAAAAACACAAAUCAAGAUCCAGUCUUCUUCUGUUCUGUUCUGUUCUGUUCUGUGAGCUGUGUGUAGAUCCGGUGCUGAAGCUGUACCCCUCGUUAUCAAACACACACUCUCACACACUCUCGCACACACGGUCACGGUGCAGCAGAGGAAACCCUGAGCGCGAGCGCGGUCCGGCGUCUUCAGCAGCCCCGGUGCGUGUGUGAGGAUGAGGAUGAGGAUGAUGUUCUGCUUGUUCCAUAUGUCUCUCUUCUCAUCUCAUCAGCAUCGCGCACACACACUUUUCACGCGUGCAAACACACAGCCGGACUGAAGAAAAUAAUAAUAAUACUAAUAAAAAACUGAAGACGAAUUCAGCUCUUCUGCGCGCGCGUCCCCGCUAAAGUCCGGUUUGUCGCGUCCUCCAGAUAAAAAGAAUAAAAAACACUCCUCCUCCGCGAUCUGUCUCUUAUUCUGUGAGCUCGGAGUGUGUUUCCUUCUCUCUCAGCUCGGAGUGUGUGUGUGUGUGUGUGUGUGUGUAGGGGGGGCGCGGAGCUCCGGAGUCUCAGCGCGCACUGUGCACAGCUCACGGAGGAGUGGACAGCUUCCAGCUCUCUCUCUCUCUCUCUCUCUCUCUCGCUCGCUCGCUCACUCACGCUGUAAUACGUGGGCGGAGCUCUCGAGAAUCCCAGGAGAUGGUUACAGUCACUGAGAGCUCAGGUUUCUUCAUUCUGAUGUUUGACGUGAACUUGACCUUCAUCUGCAAGACUUUAUGGACUGUGCUACUACCACAUGAUUGGCUGAUUGGAUAAUCGGGUGAAUGAGCAGGUGUACAGGUGUUAUAACCAGGUGUUGGACCUGCCUGAUCCAGCCUGAUGCCCUACCACUGGAUGGAGCUCUCAUCAACUGGAGGCUACAGCCUGGAGAUCGCUGAGGACGGUGCCGCUUGAAGUAUCACGGAAAUAGUUUCGGACCUCAAUUCCACAUGGUCGUUCUCGCUGUGGUUGCUGGGACGACGGUUGCUGCGAUGGCUUUAGGAUUGCAGUUACCACAUGCAGUUCUGCACUCAGGUCUCCUUUAGUGAACAGUGGACUAGUUCAACAAACAGACUUCAUAUUAAACCAUAAUGAACUUUCCUUUACUCUCACACUAUCCGUCGUUCCCCAGAUGAGGACGGGUUCCUUCUGAGUCCGGUUCCUCUCAAGGUUUCUUCCUCAGAUCAUCUCAGGGAGUUUUUCCUCACCACCGUCACCACCGUCUCGCUCAAUAGGGAUAAAUUCACACGCUUAAAAUCUCCAUCCUGUGUUUAUAUGUUUCUGUAAAGCCGCUUUGAG
ensembl:lncRNA